AUUCGUAUUGAGUUGAUCCUGGUCAGAUUGAACGCUGGCGGCAUGCCUUACACAUGCAAGUCGAACGGCAGCACGGGAGCAAUCCUGGUGGCGAGUGGCGAACGGGUGAGUAAUAUAUCGGAACGUGCCCAAUCGUGGGGGAUAACGCAGCGAAAGCUGUGCUAAUACCGCAUACGAUCUACGGAUGAAAGCGGGGGACUCAGCAAUGAGCCUCGCGCGAAUGGAGCGGCCGAUAUCAGAUUAGCUAGUUGGUGGGGUAAAGGCUCACCAAGGCGACGAUCUGUAGCUGGUCUGAGAGGACGACCAGCCACACUGGAACUGAGACACGGUCCAGACUCCUACGGGAGGCAGCAGUGGGGAAUUUUGGACAAUGGGCGCAAGCCUGAUCCAGCAAUGCCGCGUGCAGGAUGAAGGCCUUCGGGUUGUAAACUGCUUUUGUACGGAACGAAACGGUCCGCCUUAAUACGGUGGGCUAAUGACGGUACCGUAAGAAUAAG
rnacentral:rRNA from 1 species